CAAAAGAUCAUAAUUACUUUUCUACUGCUUUGCUGUUGUAAGAAACUGGCUUCACUGAACCCCACACAGUGACCUCAGGCAGGUCAAGGUAAAAUUUUCAUAAGCAAACCUGAAAUCCAUCCAUAGUUUGGGAAUGCUAAAUAAAUUCAUAUUCAUUCACAGGAGAAAAUGGAUGGACUUGCCAUGUGUGAGACAUGCCAGGACACAGGAGGCCUGGGUGCUUGGGUAUUAACCUGUCCUUGCAGGCUUUCUACAGGCUUGGAGCUGGGGUUGGAGAUCCUGAGUCCCUCCAGGAGGGAUAACUCCCAAGCUCUCAUCUUCCCUCUGUGUAGCAAGAAGACUGGGUCCACUCCUUUUUUAUCAUAGAGGGCCCAUUUUUAAGGCAUUAAAAGGGAA
rnacentral:lncRNA from 1 species